AACUGCCGUUGACAGAACGGAGAAGGUGGGAUGACGUCAAAUCAUCAUGCCCCUUAUGUUCUGGGCUACACACGUGCUACAAUGGCCGGUACAGACGGACGCAAAGCCGCGAGGUGGAGCAAAUCCUAAAAAGCCGGUCUCAGUUCGGAUUGCAGGCUGCAAUUCGCCUGCAUGAAGUCGGAAUCGCUAGUAAUCGCAGGUCAGCAUACUGCGGUGAAUACGUUCCCGGGCCUU
rnacentral:rRNA from 1 species